rnacentral:lncRNA from 1 species
AGGAUCUGAGUCCUCUCCAGAACACCCACUUUCCUUACAUCUAAGAGGAUUUGUGAUUUGCUUGCAACUAAAAAAAAAAUUAAAAAAGAGCAUUUUAAGGGAAAAACGAUACAUGUUCCUCAAACUUAGUGAGUAAAUCAGAAGAAAACAGGAUAAUUAUCAAAACAACAAAGGAGAGGCUAUCACUUACUGUAGCUGCGCAGUGGAAUAUGACAUUUGUAGAAUCUAUAAUGAUCUCCUUAUCUUCUUCACUGAGAGCCAGUUUAGGUUGGCGGACUGCUUACAUGCAAUGCCAUAGAGGUCUGAACAGAGUGCUGGAUCUCCAGGAACUGAAGUUACAGAUGAUCUUGAGAUGCCAUAUGGAUGCUGAGAAUCAAACCCAAGUCCACUGAAAAGCAACCCAGUAUUCUUAACUGCUGAGCCAUAUCUCCUGCCUCUCUCCAAAUAUUAUUUUAAAACAUUAAAAAUGCAAUACAUGGA